rnacentral:tRNA from 1 species
AGCCCUAUGGUGUAAUGGUAGCACAUGAGACUUUGACUCUCAUGGAAUAGGUUCAAAUCCUGUUAGGGCUG